GCGGAACACGUGUGCAACCUGCCUUUAUCUGGGGGAUAGCCUUUCGAAAGGAAGAUUAAUACCCCAUAAUAUGUUGAAUGGCAUCAUUCGACAUUGAAAACUCCGGUGGAUAGAGAUGGGCACGCGCAAGAUUAGAUAGUUGGUGAGGUAACGGCUCACCAAGUCUACGAAUCUUUAGGGGCCUGAAGGGUGAUCCCCCACACUGGUACUGAACACGGACCAACUCCUACGGGAGGCAGCAGUGAGGAAUAUUGGACAAUGGGUGAGAGCCUGAUCCAGCCAUCCCGCGUGAAGGACGACUGCCCUAUGGGUUGUAAACUUCUUUUGUAUAGGGAUAAACCUACCCUCGUGAGGGUAGCUGAAGGUACUAUACGAAUAAGCACCGGCUAACUCCGUGCCAACAGCCGCGGUAAUACGGAGGGUGCAAGCGUUAUCCGGAUUUAUUGGGUUUAAAGGGUCCGUAGGCGGAUCUGUAAGUCAGUGGUGAAAUCUCACAGCUUAACUGUGAAACUGCCAUUGAUACUGCAGGUCUUGAGUGUUGUUGAAGUAGCUGGAAUAAGUAGUGUAGCGGUGAAAUGCAUAGAUUUUACUUAGAACACC
rnacentral:rRNA from 1 species